GAUGAACGCUGGCGGCGUGCCUAAUACAUGCAAGUAGAACGCUGAAGGAGGAGCUUGCUCUUCUGGAUGAGUUGCGAACGGGUGAGUAACGCGUAGGUAACCUGCCUGGUAGCGGGGGAUAACUAUUGGAAACGAUAGCUAAUACCGCAUAACAGUAGAUAUUGCAUGAUAUCUGCUUGAAAGGGGCAAUUGCUCCACUACCAGAUGGACCUGCGUUGUAUUAGCUAGUUGGUGAGGUAACGGCUCACCAAGGCGACGAUACAUAGCCGACCUGAGAGGGUGAUCGGCCACACUGGGACUGAGACACGGCCCAGACCCCUACGGGAGGCAGCAGUAGGGAAUCUUCGGCAAUGGACGGAAGUCUGACCGAGCAACGCCGCGUGAGUGAAGAAGGUUUUCGGAUCGUAAAGCUCUGUUGUAAGAGAAGAACGAGUGUGAGAGUGGAAAGUUCACACU
rnacentral:rRNA from 1 species